rnacentral:rRNA from 1 species
AUGUUCCUACGGGACGCAGCAGUGGGGAAUAUUGCACAAUGGGGGAAACCCUGAUGCAGCAACGCCGCGUGAGUGAAGAAGUAUUUCGGUAUGUAAAGCUCUAUCAGCAGGGAAGAAGAUGACGGUACCUGACCAAGAAGCCCCGGCUAACUACGUGCCAGCAGCCACGGUAAUACGUAGGGGGCAAGCGUUAUCCGGAAUUACUGGGUGUAAAGGGAGCGUAGACGGUUAAGUAAGUCUGGAGUGAAAGGCCGGGGCCCAACCCCGGGACUGCUCUGGAAACUAUUGAACUUGAGUGCAGGAGG